rnacentral:rRNA from 1 species
AAGAAGCGGGGAUAAGUAUAUUAGACGAGAAGACCCCAUGGAGCUUUAAACCCGACAGCACCCACUUAUUUAACACCUUCUUAUCCGCCUGGCCCCUGUCUGCUCGGUUUUGGGUUGGGGUGACCGCGGAGCAUAAAAUAGCCUCCACGAAAGAAGGGAUGAUUCCCUCAUUUUAGAACUACACUUCCAAAGACUAACAAAUUAAUUUUAAGUGAUCCGAUACCCGUAUUCGAUCAACGAACCAAGUUACCCUGGGGAUAA